rnacentral:rRNA from 1 species
GACGAACGCUGGCGGCGUGCCUAAUACAUGCAAGUCGAGCGGACGAUUCGAAAGCUUGCUUUUGAAUCGUUAGCGGCGGACGGGUGAGUAACACGUGGGCAACCUGCCCUGUAGACGGGGAUAACACCGAGAAAUCGGUGCUAAUACCGGAUAACACGAAGUGUCGCAUGACGUUUCGUUGAAAGGCGGCGCAAGCUGCCGCUACAGGAUGGGCCCGCGGCGCAUUAGCUAGUUGGUGAGGUAACGGCUCACCAAGGCGACGAUGCGUAGCCGACCUGAGAGGGGGAUCGGCCACACUGGGACUGAGACACGGCCCAGACUCCUAAGGGAGGCAGCAGUAGGGAAUCUUCCGCAAUGGACGAAAGUCUGACGGAGCAACGCCGCGUGAGCGAAGAAGGCCUUCGGGUCGUAAAGCUCUGUUGUUAGGGAAGAACAAGUAACGUAGUAACUGACGUUACUAUGACGGUACCUAACGAGAAAGCCACGGCUAACUACGUG